AUGGGGGAGCUGGAAGGAACAUACAGAGUCCUGCAGACCCCGGGGGCACGCCUGGGCACCGCGACCCCCGCGGGCGUCAGCACCCUGGAGCCCGGUCAGGGCCCCCCGGCGAGGGUGCGCGGCCAGCGGCUGCACCUCCGCGUGCAGCUGCUGGACGACUCCGUGGAGCUGUUUGACGUCGAGAUCUGGCUUGAACCUAUGAAACCCAUCAUUAGACAAGUACAAAGACCGAAGAGUGCACUGCUUCGCCUGGCGGUGAAGUUCUUCCCACCGGACCCGGGUCAGUUGCAAGAGGAAUACACACGAUACUUGUUCGCCCUGCAGCUCAAGAGAGACCUUCUGGAGGAGCGUCUGACCUGCACGGACACCACGGCUGCCCUCCUGGCGUCCCAUCUCCUGCAGGCGGAAGUCGGGGACUACGAUGAGGUGCUGGACCGGGAGCACCUGCGCACCCGCGAGUAUGUGCCGCGGCAGGAGCGCGCCCUGCACAGGAUCCUGGCAUUUCACCGCGAGCUCGCGGGCCAGACGCCAGCUGAGUCAGACUUCCAGGUGCUGGAAAUUGCCCGGAAGCUGGACAUGUACGGCAUCAGAUUUCACUCGGCUUCUGACCGGGAGGGGGCCAAGAUCAAGCUGGCCGUUUCACACACGGGCAUCCUGGUGUUCCAGAGCAGCACCAGAAUCAACACUUUCAACUGGUCCAGGCUCCGAAAGCUCAGCUUCAAGAGGAAAAGGUUUCUCAUCAAACUCCACCCGGAGGUCCAUGGGCCCUACCAGGACACCCUGGAGUUCGUGUUGGGCAGCAGAGACGAAUGUAAGAGCUUCUGGAAGAUCUGUGUGGAGCAUCACACCUUCUUCAGACUCUCUGAUCAGCCCAAGCCGAAAGCUAAAGCCGUCCUCUUCAGCAGAGGCUCCUCCUUCAGAUACAGUGGAAGAACUCAGAAACAGCUUGCUGACUAUGUCAAAGGCGGUGGGAUGAAGAGGGCUCCGUAUGAAAGGAGACACAGCAAGACCCGGAUGUCUCUCCGCGCCCUCAAGGUGGACUUGCCACGGCAGAGCACCUCAUUCUCCGAGGCUGUGACGACUCCUGUGACGCCAUCGCCCACAGCCGCCUCCUUCUGCUCGGCCCCUGCGUCCCCUCCAGUUCCCCCGGGCCCACGCGAUUUCCAGGUCGGCGGCAGCAGCUCCGAGACGGGCCCCCCCGCACCCGGCGCCCGGCGGCCAGCUGCAGAGAGGAGCUCCGUGGCCACGGCCCAGCGCCCCCGGCUGCCUGCGCUCCAGCCUCACCAAGGCCUUUCCGUGGAGAGUCCUCAGCCUUCUCCCUCCACCCAGAGGAGCCCGCCAGGCCUGAGCCCCCAGGGCCCAGCCGCGCAGGGCCCCAGCCCCCUCCUGGGCCCCGUCCUCGCUGACGCCGCUGGAGCCAGGACGGACGACCGGGAGGAGCCGAGACGCAAGUGCGUGCCUACGGACGAGGCAUAUUUCAUAGCAAAGGAGAUUCUCGCUACAGAACGAACAUGCCUGAAGGAUUUAGAAGUUAUUACCGUGUGGUUCCGGAGCGCGGUGGUCAAGGCGGACGCCAUGCCUGCAGACCUGAUGACCUUGCUCUUCUCCAACAUCGACCCCAUCUACGAGUUCCACAGAGGCUUCCUUCGUGAGGUGGAGCAGAGGCUGGUGCUCUGGGAGGAAUCUUCUAGCACCCAGGCCACAGGCAGUCACCAGCGCAUCGGGGACAUCCUGCUCAGGAACAUGCUUCAGUUAAAG
rnacentral:lncRNA from 1 species